AGGUUGGUUUGAGUAAUUUUUGAACCUGAAACUACUUCCUAGAACUGUUCCUUGGAAAUUUUCUGUUUCUUGAUUCAGAAUAAAGUUUUCUUCACUAAUUUGAGCCAUUAAUAGGGAAAAAAAUAAUUAAUUAUCAAAACUGCUGAAAUGAAAUAUUUGAAUCAUCCAAAUUAUGCUGGCUUGAUUCAUUGGUUUGCAAGCAUUCUUGAGAUGUGUUACUGUUUCAGGGAGGGAUUUAUUUGUUAGUUUGAGGGUUUUUGAUUGCCAUUCAGCUUCUCAGUUUUACUACACAUAAACACGCCUUCUAUCCUAUUGCUUAUAUGGAUAAGCAAUGCAUGGAGCAAGAAAUUAAUCUGACUACACCAUUCUGGACCUCUUGACUUUUAAAGAGAGUUGGGAUUUAGACAGACCGUAGAAGGAAUUGCUGUAUUCAAGAUGUGAAGCGAUUAAGAUGUGAACAAGGAUUUCAGCAGAAACAAGGUCAAGGUUAAGCAUCCUCACUGAUUACCACCGCCCCAUUUAAACAGGAGGGAGGCAACCUCUUCACAAGCAGAACGCCACUGAGGGCUCUUGGGGUGGAUGCAGUCACCGUGUUGAUGAGAGGCAACGUCGGCAGCACCAAGUUACUCUUUCAUGUGUUAUCAAGCAUGUUCCAUCCUGAGUCUUGUCAACAGGGGCAGAAAGCUUGUAUAGUCCCACCAAAACAAGCAGCUAUGCAAGAUUGCUUUCCAGCUUCAAACUGUGAUGUGUGGAGGAAAUAAAUUCCUGAUGUGUUGCUGGUUCAAAUCACUGGCCUCCAAGAAUCCUGUAGCUGGAAAUGUUGAAGACAGAAAUCUCUAAUGGGUCAUUUUGGACAGCCUCCCGCCAGGAUAUGAUUAAUCCCUCCAGAGCUAUGUUAGUGCUUGAUGAACAGCAAUGCUAUCUACAAGUGAGCGAUGUUGACCACAAACACAGAUGAGCAGAAAGAAGACACUGGUGCCUGUGGUCAACAGAUACCCUCCUCUGUAGCCUCUGCUUUUAUUCUGUGUCAUCUUUAAUUUUAUUCCUCAUGUUGGAUAGACAGGAAAAGAAAGGAUUUUUUGAAAUAGUCCAUAAGAGACCAAAGUCCCUAAUUUAUCAAUUUGCGUUGGUUUCAUUGUAUUUGCUUCUCAGAUAUCUGCAUGUUUUUCCUAGUGUGUUGUGGGCUUUUUUUCUUUGAGUGUA